AUUGAACGCUGGCGGCAGGCCUAACACAUGCAAGUCGAACGAGUUGCGGACUUGUGCGUACUGUCUGGGAAACUCCCCGAUGGAGGGGGCUAACUACUGGAAACGUUAGCUAAUACCCCAUACCAUCCGCUUUUCCCCGAUGGGAUUAGCUAGUUGGUGGGGUAACGGCUCACCUAGGCGACGAUCCCUAGCUGGUCUGAGAGGGUGACCAGCCAGAAUGGAACUGAGACACGGUCCAGACGCCUACGGGAGGCAGCAGUGGGGAAUAUGGCACAAUGGGCGCAAGCCUGAGGCAGCAAGGCCGCGUGUAUGAAGAAGGCCUGCGGGGUGUAAAGUAAUGGCAGCGAGGAGGCGUUACUCGCAGAAGAAGCAACGGCUAACUCCGUGCCAGCCGCCGCGGUAAUUC
rnacentral:rRNA from 1 species